rnacentral:rRNA from 1 species
UACGGAGGGUGCAAGCGUUAUCCGGAUUCACUGGUUAAAGGGUGCGUAGGUGGGAAUGUAAGUCAGUGGUGAAAUUCUCCGUGCUUAACAUGGAACUGCCAUUGAUACUAUGUUUCUUGAAUUUCUGGAGGUAAGCGGAAGUAUGUCAUGUAGCGGUGAAAUGCUUAGAUAUGACAUAGAACACCAAUUGCGAAGGCAGCUUGCUACAGG